rnacentral:rRNA from 1 species
CGGGAAUUUUGGGCAAUGGGCGAAAGCCUGACCCAGCAACGCCGCGUGAGGGAUGAAGGCCUUCGGGUCGUAAACCUCUGUCGGGAGGGACGAAAGGCGCGCGGGUGAACAAUCCGCGUACUUGACGGUACCUCCAAAGGAAGCGCCGGCUAACUCCGUGCCAGCAGCCGCGGUAAUACGGAGGGCGCAAGCGUUGUUCGGAUUUACUGGGCGUAAAGGGCGCGUAGGCGGCGCGGUAAGUCAGCUGUGAAAUCUCCGAGCUUAACUCGGAACGGCCAGCUGAUACUGCAGUGCUAGAGUGCAGAAAGGGCAAUCGGAAUUCUUGGUGUAGCGGUGAAAUGCGUAGAUAUCAAGAGGAACACCUGAGGCGAAGGCGGGUUGCUAGGCUGACACUGACGCUGAGGCGCGAAAGCCAGGGGAGCAA